UAGGGAAUCUUCGGCAAUGGGGGGAACCCUGACCGAGCAACGCCGCGUGAGUGAAGAAGGUUUUCGGAUCGUAAAGCUCUGUUGUUAAGGAAGAACGAGUGUGAGAAUGGAAAGUUCAUACUGUGACGGUACUUAACCAGAAAGGGACGGCUAACUACGUGCCAGCAGCCGCGGUAAUACGUAGGUCCCGAGCGUUGUCCGGAUUUAUUGGGCGUAAAGAGAGCGCAGGCGGUCAAUUAAGUCUGAUGUGAAAGCCCCCGGCUCAACCGGGGAGUGUCAUUGGAAACUGGUUUACUUGAGUGCAGAAGAGGCGAGUGGAAUUCCAUGUGUAGCGGUGAAAUGCGUAGAUAUAUGGAGGAACACCAGUGGCGAAGGCGACUCUCUGGUCUGUAACUGACGCUGAGGCUCGAAAGCGUGGGUAGCAAACAGG
rnacentral:rRNA from 1 species